rnacentral:rRNA from 1 species
AUGUUGUUUCAAAUGCUAGAGCACUAUGAGCGUUGCCUUGUGUCGCGAUGCUUGAACGAGGCUCUCCAAGACAUCGAGGCCUUGCAGUCCGUUCUGUUGAUAGAGGAAAAUGCUUCAAGUCUUGAGAAACACGCCACAAAAGUUUUCACUCAUGCUGUGUUUAAGUUGGUCUUAUGGAGCAUAAAUGAUGUAAGCAAAUGUUAG